rnacentral:rRNA from 1 species
CGAAAAUCUAGUGGUUAUAAUAGGAAGCCAGAGGAAACUCUGGUGGAGGCUCGUAGCUAUUCUGUCGUGCAAAUCGAUUGUCAAUCUUGAGUAUAGGGGUGAAAGACUAAUCGAACCAUCUAGUAGCU